UGGGAAGCUCAGGCUCAUAUGUU
rnacentral:miRNA from 1 species